rnacentral:ncRNA from 1 species
UAAAAGUUUUAUUUUAGCUUAAAAAUUAAAUUUUAUUUUUAAUUAUAUAUAAGUUAUUUUUUAGAAGGAUGUUAUAGUAAUUAUAUUUAUAUAUUAAGGAAAUUUAGAUUUAGGAAUAAUAAUUAGUAUUAACAAAAUUUGUGCCAGCAGUUGCGGUUAUACAAAUAAUAUAAUUUAAUUUUAUUAGUAAAAAUUAAUUUUAUUAAGAAAAAUUUUUAUAUAAAAUUUUUUAAGUGAAAUUUUAAAUUUUAAGGAUAAAUUUUAAUUUUAAAAUGAAGUUUAUAAGUUUAAUUAAUAAACUAGGAUUAGAUACCCUAUUAUUUUAAAUGUAAUUAAAAAUAUUAAAUUAGUAUUAGUUAUGUUCUUAAAAAUUAAAAAUUUUGGCGGUAUUUUAGUCUUUUCAGAGGAACCUGUUCUAUAAAUGAUAGUCCACGAUUUAAUUUAUUUAUAUUAUUAAUUUGUAUAUCAUCGUAAUUAAGUAUUUUAUUAAAAUUAUAAAUAUUUAAGAUUUUAAAUUAAAAAAUUAAUCAGAUCAAGGUGCAAUUUAUAUAUAAAUAGUAAUGGGUUACAAUAAAUAUAUUUUUGGAAAAUUUUUUUUAUUAGAGGUUUGAAUUUGGAUUUGAUAGUAAUUUUAAUAAAUUAAUUAAUUUGAUUUUGGCUCUAAAAUAUGUACAUAUCGCCCGUCGCUUUCAUUUAAUAUGAAAUAAGUCGUAACAAAGUAGAUUUACUGGAAAGUAAAUCUAGAUUAUC